CCUACGGGUGGCAGCAGUGGGGAAUAUUGCACAAUGGGGGGAACCCUGAUGCAGCGACGCCGCGUGAGUGCAGAAGUAUUUCGGUAUGUAAAGCUCUAUCAGCAGGGAAGAAAAAGACGGUACCUGACUAAGAAGCACCGGCUAACGACGCGCCAGCAGCCGCGGUAAUACGUAGGGGGCAAGCGUUAUCCGGAUGUACUGGGUGUAAAGGGAGAGUAGUCGGGAAUGCACGGCUGAAGGGAAAGCCGAAGUCGCAACCAUGGGACUGCUUUGGAAACUGUAAAACUGGAGUGCAGGAGAGGUAAGCGGAAUUCCUAGUGUAGCGGUGAAAUGCGUAGAUAUUAGGAGGAACACCAGUGGCGAAGGCGGCUUACUGGACUGUAACUGACGUUGAGGCUCGAAGGCGUGGGGAGCAAACAGGAUUAGAUACCCGAGUAGUC
rnacentral:rRNA from 1 species